rnacentral:siRNA from 1 species
UGGGUCUCGAUACGUUCUUUU